GUCCAGGGGCGGGAAUCGAACCCACACCACACGAGUGGACAAGGCACCUGCCCGGUAAGCAGAAGGGUGUGGGUUCGAUUCCCGCCCCUGGACA